CUCAGAGAAACGGUGGGUACUAUGGAAACCAGCUCUUCAGUCCCAGUGAGACAGGCUUACCCCAGGCAGAUCUGACAGAAGACAAGUCAGUUCACACAUAGUCCAGGAGAUGUCUAUGCUGAAAACAGAGAAAGAAGCUGAUGCCCACAAAUUUGCUGUUGGGAGUGGAUGUUGCCGAGUCUGUGCUUCCGGGAGACCUUGGCCUGCGCUGUUCUGGGUUAUGUGAGGAACACAAAUGACAAGGAAAUGAGCUGCUACUGGAGAUUUAUUUAAAUAAACACAAGGCAAUGUCAGGACAGUGUGGAGACAGAGUAAUCUAGUGAACCCUCUUCACUGAUCGUACUGAACAACAGCCAUGGAUGCUCAUGAAGACCUGAGGGGCCUGGGACUCAGGAGUGCCUUCUUAAUCACCUAAAACGUUACGUGCAGUCAUUUUCAUGUUAAAUGUAAGUUAUAGCCUGUCCUCAAAAUUUGGUGGCUCAGAGUGUUCUCACACACAUCAGAAUUCACGGGGAGUCAGCUCUGCCUUCGGGAAGAGAAUAUUGGACUUGUGGUCGCAGGACUGAGGCCUGCUGUGCUCCUGGAGCCCUCUGCCCACUCUAGGGCCAGGCAGAGGGUCUGCAGGCACUGCCAGGCAUUGCAGCACCUACCACUACAUUUGGGAGCACUGGGUACUAACACUAAGGAUGACUAUGCUGCGUGAAUGGGGGAUAUUUAGGGUCAUUACAUGUAACCAGAUGUUAGCUUAAAUUCACCCAGACAUAGCCUGAGGCAAAGAUUAGAGUGCACAGUUUAUUUGGGAGGUGAUUCUAGAAAAGAUUGUUAGGGGAUGGGGGGUUGGGGAAGUGAGCAGGCGAUGGAAAAGACAAUAAGCGAGUCAAACAUGGAUUUUCAACUUUGUCAGGGGGGUUGGCACCCCUAACCUCUGAUUGUUCAAGUGCCAGAUGUAUAAUAAAUAUCACC